AACGUGGCCUUGGGGACGAUUUACAGUGGGGAACAAAGUUCUUUAGCUUUUAAGUUCAAAGGGCACCAUCUGGGUAUGAGAAAGGAAAAUUUUUGAAAAGGAAUGCAGUCAGGGAGAACAGGUUUUUCUUCCUAAUUUGAGACGGAAGAGAUAAAGGAGGCUGGAGCUGGCAACCAAAGUCGUCCAGUUCCCAAAACACCGGACUUGAUGUUAACGUUUUUACUUUCCUUCCUCAAAACGCGUGCGCUGCAGCUUUGUUUCUGAGCCCACCCAGAAUCAGCAGUUUCGCAAAGGGGUUUACAGGCUCCUGAUAGAGUGACUUCACCUUCAAGCAGCAGCACUGUGAGGGCUGUCUAGCCUUUGUAGCCAAUCUCGGUAACAGUUGGGCAAAUUAGAAGUCAUUGUGUAAGGAAAGUGAGCACGAAGAACAAAGGCUGUUGGAUUCUUUGCUACUUAACGAGAGAUCUUGUUUAGCUCCAGCCGUUAGGAAAACUCAUCACUUCCUAUAUUUGCUGGUGACAAUCAAAUGCAAGAAAACACAGCUUUAAAGAAAAAAAGUCUAAAUAAAUACUUUAGAGGAGAUGCGGAUCCUUUUACAUUUCCUCAGAUGAAAAUACUGCAAAGUUGGUGAGAGGAUAUUUAUUUCAUUCAGGAAAUCCCAGUCAAAUCUUUCCUUCUAUUCAAAAAAUUGGAAUUUAAAUGAAAAACAUGCCUUCAUGUCACAGCGAUGUCCUACGUGGCCUACAUUUCAAAAUUAAUAGAUGAUAGACAUAAUUUUUUCUAUCUUGUUAAAAAACUAUGAUCAAAUCGUAAGUUUGUUUCUCUUCAAAUGUUGUGAUGUGGCAGGAAAAGAGGAGAAGAUUUGGUCAGGGAUUAAGGCUGAAAGAUUGAUGAAGUCCAGAUAGUUGCAACAUGAGACGGGAAGAGGGACAAGGUGACUGUGGAAAAAACCAUCUCGAGUUUCUGCAGGAAAAUGAUGAAGAGUGGAAGGAAGUCUAAUCUGCCUCAGAAAUGCAAAGGCAUCUCAAGUCUCCGCUAACUACGUUCCUGGGAUGAGAUGCAGAAGUAUCACAGCUCUCACUUCACCCCCCACCACAAACAUUUGCACAACUGCCGCGGAAAUUUAAAGCUCUACGCGUAAGGACGUCAAUAUUUCAAUUUAGAAUUUUACACCUGAUUAAAGACACAGCCUCCCCUCCCUUUGUUUGUUCCAUGUACUGGUGGGUUUUGGUAAAUAUUUCUAUCUUCUGCAUUGGUUUAUGAAUAACUUAGAGGUCAGGGAAACCCUCUCCCCCCUUUUCCCACUUUUAAUUGUAUCUCCAACAAGACUUACUUAUUGUGAGAGCUUAAUAAAUACCCUUAAUUAAAAUUUAAGAAAUGAAA